AUUCCACCUCUUCUUUUCAUUUUUGUCACUGUAAUUUUAUUAUUAAAAAGGGCUUCGUGCAAUUGUCGUCACCCUGGAAUACUGGUUAUAACAAUUGUCAUUUGACAGUCGCCUAAUAGCAGAGUCGAAUGAACCGCCCUUUUACUCGAGUAAAGAAUGAAUGUAUAAUCUCGCCUAAGUGGUUGUAAGUGGAGUUUAUUUCCGCGGCUAAUUAUCAUAUUAUUUUUCAAGAUCACGACCAGGUUUUUUUCUGUUUGCUCCGUUCAGUUGCGGAUAAAUUUAUUACCUGGAUUUAUAUGGCGCCGGUAGGUUGAGGACUCGCGCAACUUUACUCUAGGUGGAGGUAUAGAGUUCCACUGCAAAUGAAAGAAGUUUGUUGCAAAAUAGAUAAGUAAAAUCCAUCUUGUAAAACUGUGUGAAAAGGUAAUCAGUGGAAUAUUUUGCUGUCAUCUUAAUUGAGAAAUAUUCAAGACGUAAAUUUUUGGAUGAUCGAAUUUUUUAAUUCUUCAUGAAAUUGCUCUGGUAACAAGAACCGAAGAAUUGCAAUUGUUUAAGACUCAACAAAGUAGAUCGUCUUUUGAA